UGGGGAAUAUUGCGCAAUGGGGGAAACCCUGACGCAGCAACGCCGCGUGAGUGAGGAAGUAUCUCGGUAUGUAAAGCUCUAUCAGCGGGGAAGAAGGAAGACGGUACCCGACUAAGAAGCCCCGGCUAACUACGUGCCAGCAGCCGCGGUAAUACGUAGGGGGCGAGCGUUAUCCGGAUUUACUGGGUGUAAAGGGAGCGUAGACGGCGUCGCAAGUCUGAAGUGAAAGCCCGUGGCUCAACCGCGGAACCGCUUUGGAAACUGCGAGGCUGGAGUGCUGGAGAGGUAAGCGGAAUUCCUGGUGUAGCGGUGAAAUGCGUAGAUAUCAGGAGGAACACCGGUGGCGAAGGCGGCUUACUGGACAGUGACUGACGUUGAGGCUCGAAAGCGUGGGGAGCGAACAGG
rnacentral:rRNA from 1 species